rnacentral:rRNA from 1 species
UACGUAGGGGGCUAGCGUUGUCCGGAUUUAUUGGGUUUAAAGGGUGCGUAGGUGGCCUAUUAAGUCAGUGUUUAAAGUCUGCAGCUUAACUGUAGUUAUGGCAUUGAUACUGAUAGGCUUGAGUAAAGUUGAGGUAGGCAGAAUUGAUGGUGUAGCGGUGAAAUGCAUAGAUAUCAUCAAGAAUACCGAUUGCGAAGGCAGUUUACUAAGCUUUAACUGACACUGAGGCACGAAAGUGUGGGGAUCAAACAGG